rnacentral:pre_miRNA from 1 species
AAUAAGCGCAGUCAUGAGUUUCUGUGUCCAACUUUAAUCAUUCGUCUUAUUUAAAUUUUUUUUAAAAAAUUAACAAACAUAAGUCACGCAUAAAGUACUAUUCAUAUUUUAUAAUCUAAUAACAAUAAAAAUACUAAUCAUAAAAUAAUUUUAAAUAAAAUAGACGGUCAAAAUUGGACACGAAAACUCAUGGUUGCGCUUAUU